GUAGGAGGCAGGGACAGCCUGGAGGCAGGCUUCAUUGUGCAGCUCCUUUAACUUCCGGAGCAGUGGGUAGAGGCUUUCAGGGUGAGUGUACCUCAUUGGUGAGGGCUAAGGUGCUGGGACUGCUUCAUUUGCAUGAAGAGGAUUUCCCGGUGCUUGUUGGAAAUGACCUUAUAAAACGAGGGAGCGUUCAACCUGGCUGAGACGGUGUGGCCUCUUGUGUAGGGUAAGGAGCACAGGACUACUCACUCCAGGCCAUGCAGGCCCAGGGCUGGGGAGAGAGUGGUAGGUCCCAACUCCUACCACUCUUGAGACAAGAUUUCUGCGGUUGGACAGGACUCAACCCCACUUUUGCUCCCAACUGGAUCCUCCUGAUUCCAUGGCAACCCAACUCCACACAAUUUUAGGUAUUUUGUUAUAGCAAUAGGAUAUGUGCCAAGAUACUAGUAUUCUGCAUUUGAUAUUAUUUAGUAUUAUUUUGUAUUUAACAUUAUCUAUGCACCUUUAGAGCAAACUAUAUAUUCUUAUAGGUGCGAGACUGCAUUUGAGUACAUAACAAGUGAAAUAUGUGGUCCAUGAUGACUAAAAUUUUAAAGUAGAAAUCCAUGUAGUUGAUAACUACAAGAUCCAACUUCAGUGUUUUUAUUGUGAAAUUUAACUUUUUAUUCAUUGAAUACUCCUAUUUCCAGUUAUGGUGGUGUUUCAUUGAAAACUGAAAUAUUGAGUCAAGAUGCAUUUAAUGUGUAUAACCCUCUAAACAUAAUAAAUUAGGUCAGCCUAACUUAAAUGGGCUUUAAACAUCCUACAGUAAAGAAAGAUCAUAAUGGAAUGUUAAUUAUCUCAUGUAACUUAUUGAAUACAAUAACAAGAAACAGAAUCGCUGUAUAAAUAAUUGAAGCACUGUUGAAAAACCAACUAAAUCCAAAACAGUAUAAGUGAGGAACCAUUAGCAUAAAAUGCCAUCAUAUAUAUAAAUUAUUUGUAUUUUAUUAUAUUUGUUAUAUUGUAUUAUUUUAUAUUACAUUAUAUUUGGGCCAAACUUAGAAGAGAAUAAGUGGUGUGUAUAACCUUCAGAGAUGGAUUCUGAGGAAAUAAACUGCUACUAUACCAUUUUACUACUCUAAUUUUAGACUGGUCAGAAUCACCUGGCAACAAAAGCCCCAGGGUGAGUCUAAGACAUUUCAGGCGUGAUUUAACCUCCAGAGACAGGUGGGAUUCUCAUCACAGAGGAGUUGAGUGAGAACUUUCUGAAGCCCCUACUUUGAAUUGCAGAUUGUGUUCAGACAAGACAACCCUGAAAAUUAUUUCUGUCUGGGGAUUCCAAAACAAUUAUGUAAAUGAGGCUGAGAAUUCCAAUUCUAUUUUGUUCCAGGUGAAUGUGGGGGUAGUUUAACUGUUUUAAAUUUCUCUAAUAUUCUCUGGCAGAAAUAUCAUCACCUGGGUUAAUGAGUUUAUUAAAACUGAAGGCAGAAAACAAGAAGUGGCAUUCUAUCUUAUUGAGCUUGGACAGCCUUCCUUUACUCAGGGUAGUUUUUUCAGCUCUCAUAUGAAGCUACUUUCUAACCUUUAAUGUUACUAAAUUACUUUGGCUCCCAAAAGAUAUUAAUAUAACUUUUAAUACAUUUUGUCAUCUCAGUAGAGGACUCCGAAUAAGAAUGGUCAGUUUGGAAAGCCUGAAAGGAAUUGGUUCUAAGUUGUUUCACUGUGACUGAAAUCGUAAAUGACAGAUUCUAUUAUGAGCGGCUAUGACUGGAAGAGCUUAUUCCCCCUUUCCUUCAGCAUAGGGAAUCCCACAAGUUCUUGUGUCUUGCUAAGCUUUAAGUAUUCUAGAUUGUACCGUCGAGCAACUUUGGGACUCUUCUUUAUGUUCUGGUUUUAUUGGGGACUCGUGCUGGACAAGUGUUCCUACUAAGCUCCUUUUGCAGCCCAUUAUUGAGCAUCUAUAUAACAGUAAAUCACAAUCAUCUCCUGAAGAUGAGCAAGAAAGAUAGACAAACUCUCUGCUUACACAAAAAUGAGCCUGUGGGUGUCAGGUCAACGUAUAAAUGUUGUGAGUUUUGGAUAACUCCCAUGGAGAUGCUCCCACGGCUAACGCUGUACUGCAGAUCACCCUCCAGACUUAAUCACCUGAGGCAGCCCCUGCUGGAUUGUGUCUAGUGGACUUGUGGUUCAUAAAUUCAGUCAGAGGACGACAGGGUGGGAUUUUUUUGUUAUUGUGGAAAGACUGAGGGUCACUCAAUGAAACUCAGCUAAAGAAUAGACGUACAAGAUAGAAACUUUUCCACUCAUACAUUUGGUGACAAGACUUACCUAAGAGGUGGCCUUUAGACAUGGGUGCCAACUGCCACAUCGCCAUAUGGCCUUUCUAGCCUGGUGUUUCAGGCUGAUUGAAUUAGUUAUAUUAUAGCCAAACUCUCCUCAGAAAAUUAAGAGGAAUGUAUAUAUGGGCUGUCAUACAGCAAAACUUCCAGAAAAUUCUUUGUUUACAAGUGUAUGGUAAUGGUAGCCUACAGUCAAUGAGAGAGGAGCUGAACUCCAGCUCUUGAGAAGAGAGUGGCAAAGACAUCUACUGGAGGAUGGUGGAAGAGGCCCAUUGAUAGAGCCAUGGGUAAGAAUAAACUGGUAGGUGAGUUAGUAACUAGGGGAAAAGUUACAAGAUCUUCUCUGGGCAGCUAAAUCUUCCAAAGGAUAUGGGAUACAAAUAAUGGAACUGGAAGAAGGUGGAGAAAAAAGAAAAAGGAAAAGAAAGAGACCUGGGACACAUGAAGUAGCCCGAAUCUAAAAUGAGGAGGGUUUGAGAAACUCGGCAAGUAAGGACAACUGAUGACAAUGCUAGGGAUAAUGGAAAUGAUGCCCUAAAACAGAGGGUAAUGCAAUCUGGAGCUUUACACAUAUACUUCUGAAUGGACUGGUCAGGUCAAGCCUGGGACAGGUAUGAAAAUAUUGUGGUGCCUAGACUGGUGCCGAAGGUGGCCUGGAAUUACGGCAGCAAUGAACAAGAUGGAGUACAUUCUCUUUGAAACUGCAAUUAAUAAGGCUUUUUGGUGAGCUGCACAUAGAAGAUGUGAGGAUUAUGAAGUAUGUUAAAUCCUGGGGUUACUAUAACAAAUUACCACCAACCGAAUUUCUUAAAACAGAAACUUAUUCUAUCACAGGUCUAGAGGCCAGAGCAUGAGACCACAGGUCAGCUAUGCUAUAGUCUCCUUGAAAGCCACAGGGCAAAUAUCUGUACCAUAACUUUGUCUUGGUUUCUGGUGGUUGCUGGAAAAAAAUUCUUGGCCUUCCCUGACUUACUGACACAUCACUGUGAUCUCUGACAUUACUGACAUUUUUUGUGUUUCUGUUUCCCUUCUCUUAUAAUGACAUGAGUCAUAUUAGAAUAAGGAUCAACCCUAUCGUGAAAUGAUGUCCUUUUAAUUGUGUGAGACCCUAUUUCUUAACAAGAUCACAUUGACGGUCCUACCUUUUGUGGAAGCAUAUUUUAUCUACAAUAUGAGCCUGCGCAAGACUUCUCUACAGAUACUCUUUUGGCUUUACAUCCUUACUUUACUCCAGAGAGUGGCUUCAAGGAGUUAUCGACAUCCCCUUUGCCUGCAGUGAUCAAUACUCUGCAUUUGGAGAAGCAAAAGUUCGCAAGAGGCCAGAUAGAUGCCACCAGUUGCUGAGAGCUUGCUUGUGGAGGUGGAGACUGAAUUGAUUCAGAAGGGUCCAGAAAGCUAAGACCCAGACAUCUAAGACAUCAUAGAGCCUCCGCAGAAGUUCUACUUUCAGGGCUGAUUGAAAAAUAUCCAGACUCGUCCUAGUUUCCUUUCUGUUGUUGUCAUAAAACACUCUUACCAAAAGCAAAUUAGAGGAGAAAGUAUUUACUAGCUUAGCACUGGAGAGUCUGCUUACAAUUUACAGUUCAUCAUUGAAGGAAGGGCAAGAUCUCAAGUUAAGACUUGGAGCAGAACCCAUGCAGCAAUGCUGCUUGGUGGCUUGAUUACACGCUCAUGCUUUGCUAACUUUCUUGCACAUCCCAGAACCAUCUCCCCAAAGAAUCGAGCUACCCACAGUGAGUUGGAUCUGUCUCUAUUAACAAUCAAGAAAACCCUCACUGACUGGCCCACAGAUCUGUUUGAUCAAUUUGAUCUAGACAGUCCUUCAACUGAGGCUCCUUUCUCAGAUGACUGUAGGCUGUGUCAAGGUGACAGUUAGGGCAAAUUAGGAUGAGACCAUUUCAGGGGCAGUAAGUCCCCAUCACUGGGUGAAAUGGAAAGGACCACUCUCCAGGGACAUUUGUGUAUGUCUAAACAAUGAAUGUGAACAGUCCUAAUUCCAGGUCUUCAGCCUGUUGGGAUGAUCUGUGUUUUCGGUAAACUGUGGUUUUCUCUAAGCUCAGUGCCUUAAAACCAUACUCUUUCUAUUAUGUCUCUGUUAUAAGGUGACGUGGAGUCUCUCAUGACAGACAAUUGGCUGGGUUAGGAUAAAUGAGAGUACUUCCUCAUUCCUCUGUCUGGCACUUGUACUGGCAGACCCCAAACAUCUACGGGACUGGAGCAUGUCCAUUCUGAAGUAUCUCUUGUCCAUGUGCUCUUCCAGCAUUGUGAUUUUAACAUAGCAGAAUUAUAAGAUGGCAACACAGAGUUGGGCACACACAUGUCCCUAGCUAGAGCACUAGGCAGAAGUUGUGUAGCCUUGUAUGACCCACUCUUAAAAACCAUGUAGUAUUUUUUCAAUUGACCUUGUCAUUAAGACUGCCCAAAGACCUAUCAUGUUUGGUUAGGGAAGUGCACAGUAUUUGGAAGCUACUAUGGAACCGAGGUAGUCUAUGCAUACUUUAGGAAAAUGUAAUCUGAUAUUAAGCUUUCUAGAAGAAGAGUUCGCUUACACUUCUGCACAGUGCAUCAUAUGCUCAUAUGGCCUCUCAAAGUGCCUCAGUUAUUUUGAUACACUAGUAUCUCUAAUGUAGAAAUUUUAACAAAGUCUGAGAUAUCUGUAGAAGGUGAGAUUAGUCUAGAAUGAAGGGAAGAGAGAAUGUGUAGAACUGAAUCAAGAGUGAGUGAUAAUGGGGUAGAGCAGUAGGACAAGCUCCAGGUAAGCUUCUUAAGAUCCCUGAUUGUCAUUAACUUAUAAACUGGGAAAGUAUGGAUUAUAUACAUUGUCUUAGUUAGGGCUUCAUUUCUGUGAAGAGACACCAUGACCAAGGCAACUCUUAUAAAGGCAAACAUUUAAUUUGGGCUGGCUUACAAAAGUUUAGUCCAUUAUCAUCAUGGCAAGAAAGCAUGCCAGCGUGCAGGCAGACAUGGUGCUGGAGGAGCCAAGAGUUCUACUUCUUGAUCAGAAGGCAGCCAGCAGGAGACUGGUUUCCACACUGGGUGGAGCUUGACCACAGGGGGCUGAAAAUCCUGCCUCCACAGUGACACACUCUUCCCAACAAGGCCACACCUACUCCAACAGGCCAUAGUUCCUAAUAAUGUUACUCCCUAUGGGCCAAGCAUGCAAACACAUGAGUCGAAGGGGGCCAUACCUAUUCAAACUACCACAUGCAUCUAUCCCAGUAGAGCGUUGGACUCACAUAUAAACAGAGUGAGUGAAACUCAUAAGCAUUUCCUGUAGAAAAGACAACUGAGGGGCUUAGAGAGAUGACUCAGCACUUAAGCACUCAGCUCAUGCAGAGGACCUGCAUUUGGUUCUCAGUGCCCAUAACCGUCAGGUCACAGCCACCAGUAACUCAAGCUCUAGGGGAUCCUAGUCCCUCUUCGACCUGCAUGGGUAACUUCACCCAUAUGUUCACAGACCUUCAGACUCACACAAAAUUAAAGAUUAAAAGGAUGAUGGAAGGGCUGGGGAGAUGACCCAGUGGACAAGAGCACUAGAACUGCAAGCACCAGGCCCUGAAUUCAAGUCCACCCAUCAGAAGACAGGUGAUUCUGUUCAUACACCUCGGCACUGGACACGGGUGGGACAUAGACAGGAGAACUUCUGGGGCUUGAUGGACAUCAGCUUAGCUCCCAGAUUAGUGAAAGACUCAAAGAGAUAACGUGGGAAGUAAUUGAGUAGAUUACCCAGUGCCCUCUUCCCUCCCCAUGUGUACAUACCAUGGCACACACACUUAGAUACAUAUGUACAUACACCACACACGUACACACACACACCCACAUACACACACACACCACAUACACACUCAAACACACAAAUAAGUGUGUAUGACAAAUGAAGAGCAACAGUCCAAGGCAGUUUCUCAAACUACUCAAUGACAAAAUUACUUCAAUUUUCCUAUUCCUUCUUGCUCUUCUGUUUUCUUUCACUAGAUCAUAGUACAAAGUGGCUGUGAUGACUCCUGGAAUUUCAGCCAUAUUCCAGGCCACUGGGAAGAAAUCACGCUAAGCUUCCACCUCUAUCUUCUUUCUCUCCCACAACUAUGUUGCUCAGGUUCAGCAGAUUUCCAACAGUGCUGGGAAAUGUAGCGUCUAAUACCUUUGUCCGGUGUUCUGUUUUUCUAAGUCAAAGUCAUAUUUAUAGUCAACUUCUGUGUCAAAUUUCUACUGAAAAGAUUUGUUUUAAAGAUAGCCUGAAAUGGAUGUUUCUAGUUUCUCUUGAAACUCGGGUGUGUCAUGUGAAUAUGUUUGUUGUUGUUUUGGUUUCAAGUGUGGGAUGUGGGAAUGUUCCCUCUGAAAACCACCACAGUGAAGAGGUUGUGACAUUUGUGAGCUGGAAACUACCUCAUGUGAGGGGCAUGGAUUUUGCUAGCUGGAAAACAGCCUGGUGUGGACUCUAGAAGGGGUGAACAGAAGUCCACAGACAGUAAACAAUGCUUUUUGCAUCUCUACAGUUUUGAAAUGGUUCAAAUAGCUUUGCUAGUUUUCAAAGAGAGAAACACUCCAGAAAACAUUCCAUGCUAUUUUGAUGAUUCAGUAGAUUGGUGUCGUUUGGGCAGAGUCUGGCCAUUUUUACUGACUCGUACCACCUCUGUUGCUGUUGCUUACUGUUUGCUGCUGCUGCUAUAGUUGGCAGCUUUGCUGUUUGACUGAACUGCAGGAUAUACCAACUGCUAUUGGUAUAUCCCCAAAGAACCUAAUGACCCUAAUCAGCACGAAGUAGUUAAAAAAAAAGGUCUAUGCCCCCUUUUCUACUAGUCUCCUGCCUAAGGUUGAGGCAUUUAAGAACAUUAAAUAAAGUGGGUGUUUGAAAAUCUAAGACUGCAAUAGCCACUGAGCUGGCUAAUUUCUUCUGACUUGACUUGAUUUAGAAUCCCUUCAGAGACAUACCACUGGGCAUGUCCAUGAGAGUACUUCCACUAAGGGGUAAGAUUUCCUCACAGUGGGCAAUACCUUCCAACAGGCAGCCUGAAUACACAGAGGGGCAAAGGAAAAGCAGUCUGCAUCUGCCUGUUUCAGCGUCCUCUUGUUGAGCCAGUGCGUCCACAGCUGCUCCUGCCACCACUACCACUGCUGCUUCCACUACCCUCAACCCCCAAGGUCUUCAGCUUUCCAACAUGGAGUCAACUACUUCCUUGCAACUCUAGGACACUCCAACCCUCAGUGCAGAUUGGGGAGGUUGAGGCAUCCAGCCUCAUGGACCGAGAAGGUUCAGGUUCCCAUCCUAGCCAGUGUUCAGGUGGCCACUGCUGGACUACUCAGUCCUGAUCACAUCAACUAAUCUAAUAAUUCUCCAAACGCUAAAUGGGGCAUGAUGUCCUUUCUAGUGAUACAUGACUGUGUGUUAUUUCUUCUUUCCACUUUCUUCUUUCCACUUCUCUAUAAGAAAUGAGAGAUUUAUUUCAAUGAUUUGCAAUCUGAAGUAGAGAAAUUUUAAGUAAUUCACUUUCCACUCUAAAUAGCAGACAACAACAUUCAAACCAGUCAACAAGAACACAUUUCAUUGUUUUGAUUGACAGCACCAGAGGCACAGUGAUUCCAAGAGAUAAAAGGGUGUUCUGAAAAUUAAAUAAAUGACACCCACUCUCCCAAUCAGUGAGUGAGAUAGUCUUUGUACCUUGUGUUUGUGAUCUUGAGUGACACAGCUGGCAAUUAAGGUCAUUGUCAAUAUUAAGGCAUGCUUAGCAUUGCAUUUUAUAAGUGUGGAUGACAUGAAAUACUAUAGAAUUCUCCACCUGCAAUUGUUUUGCUCUCAUAUGCCCAGCUGAAAGGCUGUUUCCUUCCUAAAAAUUUUCCAAGUACUGGUGCCCUGCCGCCUCCCAUUUCUAUACCCA